rnacentral:rRNA from 1 species
CGGAGCGACGCCGCGUGUGGGAUGAAGGCCCUCGGGUUGUAAACCACUGUCAGAGGGGAUGAAAUUGUUGGAGGCUAUCCUUCUUGAUUGACAGAGCCUCAGAGGAAGCACGGGCUAAGUACGUGCCAGCAGCCGCGGUAACACGUACUGUGCGAACGUUAUUCGGAAUCACUGGGCUUAAAGGGUGCGUAGGCGGCUUCAUAAGUCAGGUGUGAAAUCCCACGGCUCAACCGUGGAACUGCGCUUGAAACUAUCUAGCUUGAGUAUCUCAGGGGUGUGCGGAACUUCCGGUGGAGCGGUGAAAUGUGUUGAUAUUGGAAGGAACACCGGUAGCGAAAGCGGCUCACUGGGGGAUGUCUGACGCUGAGGCACGAAAGCUAGGGGAGCGAACAGGAUUAGAUACCCUGGUAGUCCUAGCUGUAAACGAUGAGCACUAGAUGGGAGGAGGCUCGCCUCGUCCGGUCGCAGCGAAAGCAUUAAGUGCUCCCCCUGGGGAGUAUGGUCGCAAGGCUGAAACUCAAAAGAAUUGACGGGGCUCCACACAAAAAAAA